rnacentral:snRNA from 1 species
UUGGUUUAAUCUAGAACAACUUU